AGAAAAUGAAAGUGAGGAACCACAUACGUGGACCUUUAGAGUUAUUUAUCUACAUGCCCAACCUGGCAGCCUAAGCACAUCUCAGAGGCUGCAGGCCAUGUUUAUAAAGGAACCGGGCAGCUGAAGCAUGGACUGUAAGAGCUGGUUAAUUAUCAAUUUUUGUGAGAAAGGAAGGCUGUCCUCAUCUUUUGAAAGUCCUCCGAGCACAGCAGGCUAUGCAUGGUACGCCUCCAGUUUGUGAAAACAUCGGCAUCUGGAUGAACCCGACGAGUCAUCUGUGCCUUCUGCAUUGUGUCUCUGUGUGCCCUAAAACAGCACAAGCCAGCCACAAAUGAGUUCCUCUGCUCUGCCGCACACUCUUGCUGUGACCGGCAGCUUCUCCACAGACCUAAAGCCAAUAGGGCCAACCAUCCAUGACUGAAAUCUCCAAAACUGUGAGCCAAUGUCAUCCUUUUCUCUUUAUAAAGUAAUGCUGGAGAUGGAACCCAG
rnacentral:lncRNA from 1 species